CGAAGUUUCCCUCAGGAUAGCUGGAGCACGCAACGUUUCGAAUCCUAUUCUUAUCUGGUAAAGCGAAUGAUUAGAGGCCUUAGGUUCGAAAUGAUCUUAACCUAUUCUCAAACUAUAAAUGGGUACGUACCAUAGCAUUCUUGCAUGAUGCUGUUGCAAACGUUGGUAAACGCCGGGCCGUCCCCUGUCAGGGCGUGCCACGGCGUAGAAGAUAUCUGUGUGCUUAGUGGGCCAAGUUUUGGUAAGCAGAACUGGUGCUGUGGGAUGAACCAAACGUAAUGUUACGGCGCCUAAAUAAACGACGCAUCAUAGAUACCAUGAAAGGUGUUGAUUGCUACAGACAGCAGGACGGUGGACACGGAAGUUGUCAUCCGCUAAGGAAUGUGUAACAACUCGCCUGCCGAGCAAUUAUCACUUUAUGAAAGGUUACAAAUAACACAGCGAAACAAAAAUUAACUAUUGGUCUGUCUCAAGAG
rnacentral:rRNA from 1 species